rnacentral:tRNA from 1 species
GAUGGUGUAGUUCAGUCGGUAGAACGGUGGACUGUUAAUCCAUAUGUCGCAGGUUCAAGUCCUGCCACCAUCG